UCGGGAAUUUUGGGCAAUGGGCGAAAGCCUGACCCAGCAACGCCGCGUGAAGGAUGAAGUAUUUCGGUAUGUAAACUUCGGAAGAAUAGGAAGAAUAAAUGACGGUACUAUUUAUAAGGUCCGGCUAACUACGUGCCAGCAGCCGCGGUAAUACGUAGGGACCAAGCGUUGUUCGGAUUUACUGGGCGUAAAGGGCGCGUAGGCGGCAAUUCAAGUCAUCUGUGAAAUCUCCGGGCUUAACUCGGAACGGUCAGAUGAUACUGCUUUGCUAGAGUGCAGAAGGGGCAAUCGGAAUUCUUGGUGUAGCGGUGAAAUGCGUAGAUAUCAAGAGGAACACCUGAGGUGAAGACGGGUUGCUGGGCUGACACUGACGCUGAGGCGCGAAAGCCAGGGGAGCAAACGGGGAUUAGAUACCCAGGUAGUCCCUGAGCGGGCUGGCAAGGCGCAU
rnacentral:rRNA from 1 species